GCCCCAGUUUUUGUUAAACUUUAUAUUUUUGUUGAAGAAAUAUGGAUACAAAUUUUUUAGUUGAAUUGAGGAUUCAUGUUCUAGUCUUUUUUGAUUUCAGUCUCUUUUUGUUAAUCUGUUAAAGCAUUUUGUUCUUAAAAUUUUAUCAUCGUUUAUAACAGACUUCCCAUUCUUAAACAUAAUAGUUAAGUAAGGAUGAUAAGUUUUGGUAAGUGCCAUAUAGAGAUCAGCAGCCAAAUUAAAGUAUU
rnacentral:lncRNA from 1 species